rnacentral:rRNA from 1 species
UACGUAGGGGGCAAGCGUUGUCCGGAAUUAUUGGGCGUAAAGAGCGUGUAGGCGGUCCGGUAAGUCCGCUGUGAAAGUCCAAGGCUCAACCUUGGAAAGCCGGUGGAUACUGUGAGGCUAGAGUACGGAAGAGGCGAGUGGAAUUCCUGGUGUAGCGGUGGAAUGCGCAGAUAUCAGGAGGAACACCAAUAGCGAAGGCAGCUCGCUGGGACGUUACUGACACUGAGGCGCGAAAGCGUGGGGAGCGAACAGG